AAGGUGUACUGGAUUUGGUCAAUAUUUAUAUUUGUUUUAACCAAUAACUACAUUAAUAAACUUGUUUUAAUGAAAUCAAUGCUAGCACUGCAUGCACUAAUCCUAUGUCUAUCAGUCAUCAAAUUGCCAAAUAUGAGAGUACAAGAAUAAAGGCUGUGGGUUUUCUAUAAAAUUUCCAUAUGUUUAGCAUUGAAUCAACACAAGGG
rnacentral:lncRNA from 1 species